rnacentral:lncRNA from 1 species
CAGCACUGCUUGUGGUGCCCUCAUUUUUAUGCAGUGUACACGUCCUUGUAAGGAUGGCUGGAAUACAGCAUUCAGAGCAAGACUUGUGUUCUUCCCCAGAUCGCACAUCAUGAAGUUACAUUUCCUUAGGCACAGCUUCCCUUGUUCGGGAACUCAUCUUAUCGAGGCAAACUCAAACAUGUGCUGAUACACUCCUGAACUGGAGCUGAAGUCAGUCAGACUGAGAUUUUCCUGUGCUUUGGUCACUCACUGCCAUCCUAUUGGAGAUUCUGCAUGUCCGAAGAGGAGAAAUUGAGGCCACUCUGCAAAGGAUAGACAGUAGUGAAGAGCAGAACCAGAUGAGG